UACAGAGGGUGCAACCGUUGUUCGGAAUUACUGGGCGUAAAGCGCGUGCAGGCGGCCUUGCAAGUCGGACGUGAAAUCCCACGGCUCAACCGUGGAAGUGCAUUCGAAACUGCGAGGCUGGAGUCCUGGAGAGGAAAGUGGAAUACUCGGUGUAGAGGUGAAAUGCAUAGAUACAAUCAAGAACACCGAUUGCGUAGGCAGCUUACUAGGCUGUAACUGACGCUGAGGCACGAAAGCGUGGGGAGCGAACAGG
rnacentral:rRNA from 1 species